UAUGAAUAUUAACAUCUUACUUAAUUUUAUAUUUGCAAUAUAGAAUUUAUAUUUAUUUCAUCAAUGUUUUAUUUUUCUCAAUUAUUGUGCAUUAAAAAAUCUAAAUACAAUAAAAAUAAUAAAAUAUAAAUGAUAAGUUGAAUGAUUGUAUACAAUUGAGUUAACAUGUUUCACAUAUUUAUGUAAUAAAUGAAGCAUGUAAUUCUCAUUUUUAUAUUUCUAAAGUUAAAAAAAAUAAUCCAUAAUCACAUUUUUAUAGAUAUAUAAUUUUUAAUUUGUAUUUAAUUUUAUUUUUUUAAAUACCCGAAUUAGACCCGAACCCGAACCGAAACCCGACGAAUCGGAUCUGGAUCUUCAUUUUUUAGACCCGGACCCGAACCCGACCCGACCCGAAAUAUAAUGGAUCGGGUCUGGAUCUCAAGAAACCCGACCCGAUCCGACCCGUUGCCAUCCCUAUUUCAUGUCCUUGCCCUUAACCAACAGCCCUUUGGUAUGAAAGAUUUCACUACACUAUUAAAUCUGAAAGAUUUUUGCUAGCAUAGAAACAUGAAUAUAUUUUGUUUGUUGCGAGGGCAGCAGCAAGAACAAAGGCCAUUAUUGUGGAAUAUGAUGAACAAUAAAGAAAGGAAAUGCAGAUAAACAAAGAGGCAAUGAUGAUGAAUAUUUCAACAUUUAUUAUUUGUUUCUGAGUGAAAUUGGGCAUAGAGUGAAAGUGAGCCGUAUCUUGGCGUGGCAAUCAGGUGGUUGCAGCCAUGGCGGUGGCGCCCUCUUUGCCUCAUAUUUUGCAGAUCUGAGCCUCAUUUUUCCCCUGCAUAUUAGAAUUUAGAAUUAUAAUUUGUUGUGUGCUAAAAUUUGGAGACAGAAAUAUGUGAUCACUAAAAGUAUUUUAAAUAAUUUUGAUUUAUUUGAAAUUUCUAAUAAAUUUUUGAUUAAUUUUAAAAAUAUUUUAUCAUUUUAUCGAUUAUAUUCUAAAAAGAAAUCUUUAAUUUAUUGAUAAUAUUUUUGAUAUGCUCUAAUUUCUAAUAUAUUUUGAAUCUGUAUUGAUUUCAAUUUCCAAUUUCUUUUAAGAUAAAUCCAAUUUAAAUUUCUUAAUUCAUUGCAACACAAAAAUUGCACAGGAAUAUGCACAUAUGUGAGUGUUAGAAGAACAAGAAAAUGAUGAAAUUAUAAUUGACACGAGGCUGUGAUGAUGUGUUGAUCUUUCUCAGGUAUGGGUAUCGUGUCAAUUUGACCCGUUUCUUGGCUGGGCAACCCGGAUAGCUAUAGAAUCUUAUUUUAUCUUGAGCUACUGAUUGACGGAGGUUGUGCACUUGAUGAGUUGUGUAGCUGAUGAGGUUGUAGUUUAGUGACGAAAGUUGAGAUCUUGUGUUUAAUAGAACAAGCUUUGCGAAUGAUCCAUUAUAAAGAUAUGUCAGAAGAGAUAUCGCCAGAUUUGGGAAGGAACACAAGACAAGCCCUCGGGAGCAUAAUUUACAAUAUGAAGUCAUACUACCAUUAGUUAGUUGCUGCUGAACAGGAUUUCCCUCACCUAUUCUGCAGGCAUUGCCUAAGCCCAUUCACACACUACAACUACAAGGAAAAACACGAAUAUGGUCCAGGCAUUAUCUCUAUACUGAGUUUCACCUGAAUCGCCAUGUGGAGGAUUAAGCUUAGUUCUUUGGACGUGCUAACCACAAGGAACUCAGGGCUCGGAGACGUGACAUGUAAUCGCUGAUAACAAGCAGCGCACGAGCUGCUUGGCGAGUUGUUAAAAUUCUAUGCAAUUGUUGCAAAGUUUGCUGCCUCAGAAGGUCCGCCUGAUACAAGAAACAUAUAGUUUAGAAUCAGAAGAAUUAUCAGGUGCACAGGUUGAUAUAUACAGUUGGACACACCACCUGAUAAAGGAAAUUCUCUAGCGUAGAAAGUUUGCCCAUCGCAAUCGCCAUGUGGCCCAUAUAAUCAGCCACAUUCCCAGAACCAGUAGGCCCCAGUGAAUUUGAAGAGAGCGUCUCCACAAGGGAUUGCUGCAGAGCUUCCAUUCCUUGUGACAAGGCAUCCUCGGCCUGCUGAGAGGAUUGCUGGAGGUUGCAUAUGCCCAUCAACUGUUGAUCUGUCAGAGGUUCAAGUUGGUUGCCUAGAAUCUGAAGUACGAGUGAUGAUUUAAAAAUCUUGAUGAACAGAAAAUUGAGUCGAUCCUAUUCACGUAGCAAUAUGUACAAGUUUAUAGUUAAUUGAUCACCUUCAGAAGCUCUGAUGAGCGAAAUCCACCUAACCACAUAAAACACCGUUCAGCUGGAGUCUUCCACAUACCAGAGAGCAUGUGAAACACAUCAGACUUUGCAGCUACACCCUUUAGCCUAAAUAUUUCAUCAUAAUGUGACAUUAUCCCAUCUACAAGAACACGCAGUUCAGCAUCCCCUAAAUGAGAAUUCAUUACUGAUCUCAAUUCAUUGACCAGUCGCUGAUGUUCUUCUAACCAGCGGGCAUAGUCCAUGUCAAAUGCCAUGGCAACUGCAAAUAAUAAUCAUACCACAAAAUGCGAAGAUCAGAGUGGUCCGCGUCAUGAUCACCAAAAACCAUUGCUCAAAGUUUUAGGACAUUGACUGGGAGACCACCAGCAUAUUUAAAUUAUCAAAAGUAUUUUUUAUUGUACAACGGGGAUCUAGUGUAUAAAUGAUAUUUUUACAUA